UACGUAGGUGGCAAGCGUUAUCCGGAUUUAUUGGGUGUAAAGGGCGUGUAGGCGGGAGCGCAAGUCAGAUGUGAAAACUCAGGGCUCAACCCUGAGCCUGCAUUUGAAACUGUGUUUCUUGAGUGCUGGAGAGGCAAUCGGAAUUCCGUGUGUAGCGGUGAAAUGCGUAGAUAUACGGAGGAACACCAGUGGCGAAGGCGGAUUGCUGGGCGAUGACUGACGUUGAGGCUCGAAAGCGUGGGGAGCAAACAGG
rnacentral:rRNA from 1 species